UGGGGAAUAUUGCACAAUGGGCGCAAGCCUGAUGCAGCGACGCCGCGUGAGGGAUGGAGGCCUUCGGGUUGUAAACCUCUUUCGCCAGUGAAGCAGGCCAUCUUCUUUGUGGGGUGGUUGACGGUAGCUGGAUAAGAAGCGCCGGCUAACUACGUGCCAGCAGCCGCGGUAAUACGUAGGGCGCGAGCGUUGUCCGGAAUUAUUGGGCGUAAAGAGCUCGUAGGCGGCUGGUCGCGUCUGUCGUGAAAUCCCCUGGCUUAACUGGGGGCUUGCGGUGGGUACGGGCAGGCUUGAGUGCGGUAGGGGAGACUGGAAUUCCUGGUGUAGCGGUGGAAUGCGCAGAUAUCAGGAGGAACACCGGUGGCGAAGGCGGGUCUCUGGGCCGUUACUGACGCUGAGGAGCGAAAGCGUGGGGAGCGAACAGG
rnacentral:rRNA from 1 species